UGGGGAAUAUUGGACAAUGGGCGGAAGCCUGAUCCAGCAACGCCGCGUGAGGGAUGACGGCCUUCGGGUUGUAAACCUCUUUCAGUACCGACGAAGCGAAAGUGACGGUAGGUACAGAAGAAGGACCGGCCAACUACGUGCCAGCAGCCGCGGUAAUACGUAGGGUCCGAGCGUUGUCCGGAAUUAUUGGGCGUAAAGGGCUCGUAGGCGGUUUGUCGCGUCGGGAGUGAAAACAGCGGGCUUAACUCGUUGCUUGCUUUCGAUACGGGCAGACUAGAGGUAUGCAGGGGAGAAUGGAAUUCCUGGUGUAGCGGUGAAAUGCGCAGAUAUCAGGAGGAACACCGGUGGCGAAGGCGGUUCUCUGGGCAUUACCUGACGCUGAGGAGCGAAAGUGUGGGGAGCGAACAGGAUUAGAUACCCCUGGUAGUCCACACCGUAAACGUUGGGCG
rnacentral:rRNA from 1 species